UGGGGCCUGGGGCGCAGGGCUGGGUCGCGACACAGGACGGGGGCGGGCAACGCUGGGAGAAGCCCGCGCGCAGAGGGGGGAACCGGAACCUGGGCUCCCCUAGGUCCAAUCACCCCCGUGUGACAGUCAAGGGUGCUUCCCCCCCACCCGGUGCCCUGCAUGCCGGGCCCGCGCGCGCCCCCACCCCAGAGAGAGGCGCUCCUGCGGCUGCGGGACGCAGCACGUGCGGUCCCGGCUUCAAGCCCCUAGCAAGUUCCGGGCGUUUAUUGGGACGCGUUUUCGGAAGGUGCCCUCUGCGGUCCCCGGGGGAGUCGUUGUCCUCAGGCCCUGAGUCCGGUGGGGACAGCGGGAAGGCAGGCGAUUGGAGUGACGCAGCUCUCUCCGGGGCCAGUGGUUGGAGUGGGAGGAAGCCGGGCAGCUCGGCCCAGCCUCGUGGGCGCAGUAGCCACGUGGCGACGGCGCUUCCAGCCUCGCUGGCUCCGCGGGCUCCGGCCCAGGACCAAAGCGCUCUGCAGGCCUCACUCGCCCGCGGCGCCCUCCGGAGCUUCUUGCAGCCCGCGAAGCCGCGAAGCCUCCGGUGACCGCCCUCAGAGGGGCGGGAGGGGCGCUGCCCGCUGCGCCCCAGCCCCAGGACCUGACCCAGGAAGACCCUCUGGUGCCUGGAGGCCCCGCUGCGCCACACAGAGCCUUCCUAGUAACGUCCGGCCACCGGUCAUAUCCCCUCCGCUUCCAUGUUCCCAGGCCGGUGCUCCUGCCCCGCGCCGGAUCCGCGUCGCAGCUCCUUCCUCCCGAGGAGCGCAGCAGCGCGCAUGGCGUCCUGUCCUCCAACCUGCCCCCCUGGGCCUGUCUACGCAGAGAACCCCAGAUACCCCACUCCUCACAGUAAACUCGCAUCUCCCUGGACGCUGUCACCUCGCAGUUUGUACCUGCCGUGGCCUUGGCUCAGAGUUCAGAAUGAGUCACCCCAAGAUGUGCCCGGGUGGCAGGCAGGUUCUGAGCUGCAGGCAGCCCAGACCCUGCGGACUCCAGAGAAACAUCCACCCCUUCCCCCACCAGCCGCCUGGAAGCAAGGAAUUAGCGGCCCGGCCCACAACAAGUCAUCACCGGAAAUAACCUUUUUGACCUCUCUGCAGGGCAGGCCCAGCUUCUAAUGACCGCACACCUGCUCUUAUCGUCUGGCAGUGACCUCCUCCCCUCUGAGGCCCCAGGCACCUUAGCUGAUCCUUAGCUCAGAAUGUCACAUACCCCCAUCUCCCCUGACCCUGCACCUCUCCUGUGUGGGGCUCCAGAAGGACACGUGCAUUAAAUCUGGUCGUUUUCUCUCUCACAUCAAUUUAAUUAUUGGACCAAUGGGGAGAACCUAGGAGGGGAAGGGACACUUUCUUCCUGCCAUGGUACACAGGAACACGUGACCAACAUAGAAAACCUGGAAGGUACAGACCCACACACAGAAAGAGAAGACCCCUCUCUCCUUCGGCUCAUACUGCCGUGCGCCCCGCUAAUCAUCCACAAGAUGACACCCCACCUCCAGAGGGGUGGACACCACCGUCUCGUCCCAAAGACGCAAAGGUCCCAGCAGUGCCACGUGCUGGGGGUGGGGGCCCUGCAGAGUCUGGGCAGCAGGGGCCCGAGGCCAGGCGCGGGCUGGGAGGCGGUGGAGAUGCCGAGGGUGCGGGUCCGGAACAGAAGCCCAGAGGGAGGGCCAGUCCCCAUGUGCGCGGCCACACACGUGUGGCGGGGUGAGUCGGGGCAGUCGUGCGGUGGCCGGGCCUAAACUCCAUGUUCUCGCCUCUCUCUUGUGCCGGUGUCCUGCUUCCCACGAUGCUGUGGGUCUCACACGUCCUCGCGAGGGAGAAAUGACAGAAGUGCUGUGCUUGUCCCCAGCUUGGCCUCAUGGAAUGGACACCAGUCGGGUGGUGACCGGCCAGCACUACCCACGAGGCUUGACUGAUGGCCUCGCCGUGGCUGGAGGCAGAGGUCCCGGGUCCACCACGCCCAACGCUGUCUGUCCCCCUGUCUGCCAGCUGGCCUUUUUGUUUUAAAUUGACAGUAGAUUUCCUCAAGUCCGGGGCUUGUGCCUGGGGCGUCUGUCCAGCUCCGCAGGCAGCAGGUCCUGGGUGGGGACUGUGGGUUUGUGCAGGGAGAGAGUUGGAAUGGGCAGGGCCACAGGGCCAGCUGAGCAAGGCUGGGAACAGGGACAGGGCAGGGCACGUGACCUCUGCCCAGGUCAACCCUUCUCCCUGUGUCCAAAGAGGCACCAGGGAGCUCGCCCUGCGCUACAUGCGUAACGUGUCACCGGAAGCGCAGGUUAUGUGCAGGCAGAGCGGGCUGGGGAAGCACGCGGUAUCCAGAAAAGAGCAUCAGGCUCCAAACCAGGUCACACGCUUCAGGUCUCAGCCCCUGGUCACAUGGUCCGCCGGUGUGAAGUGCGGCUGGGGCCCUCACGUCCUGGCCACGUGGAUGAAUGGACGGAGGCCCUACACUCUGACCUCUGCUGAGCUGUCACCUCCACACAUACGCACACGCACGCACAUGCACACACACGCACACACACGCAGCGCCCGCACCCCCGCCGCCUGGCUCCAGGGCCUGGUCGAUUUCCCCACCGUGCCGAUCACCCCGACAGCCUGUGCUUUCUGGUCUCCAUGCCUGCUGCCGACACGGCCAGCUCCAUCCGGCGCCGGAGCAGCGUGGUGAGGCGGGUUUCACCUCCUGUGCCUGCGCCUGCAGCCCCUGGGGUGAUGCCCACCCCUGGUCCACGCUCCAUAAGCACCUGCCGACUCACAGAUCACAGGAACCAACCGCUGUCCACAGCCUGCAGCUCCCAGCCCGCAGCUCCCAGCCCUCCCGCCCGGUCCUGCCCGCGGGCGGCAGCUCUGACCAGCCGAGGCCUGGGCACGGGCAGGGCAGUGGACGAAGACAGUGUUCGUGGGGAUUUAUACUAGCAGAAUUCGGAACCAGCAAGUAAAUGACGAGACGUCCACGAAAUGGAAUAUCACACCCCACGGAGAAAUCGAAUUGAAUGAGAAACAUUUACGCGGAAACCUUUGUCCUUCAGCAGGCGAGCGGGGUGGCAGCCGACGAGACACUCGCCCGGGGGCUGCGCCCAGCGGGGAGGGGCUGGGACGGCAGGCGCUCUGCAUUCUUUUCCACGCGUUCGAAGUUCUUAAUAAACGAUUUUAUUAAUGUCA